GCAAAGAUUGCCUACCAAAGUAUUUUUUUGAUGAACAAGUUCCUUGGAUACAAAUCUAAAAAGAAAAGGUAAAUCUUGAUUGAUGCGAGCGAAGUCACUCGUUUUCGUGUUGGAGUUGGUUGGUGGAAGAAGCUCACAUCUUUUGCUUAUUAUUUAUUGAUGAAGUGAACUUUCUUUCCAUCACCGACCCCCUCCUCCUCUGUUUGAAUCAAGCGAGAUGGCUGUCUCAGAGGUUCGGUUCAUGGAUGGAGCUACGGAAUCUUGGGAACUUCCGGCGGAGAUGGAUUCUGCGAGGGUCCAACUUGGGAGUCCUCCGUCCGGAAACAGAGCAGCAGCGUUUGAGGUGGGAGGGCAGGUGAUCAGUGCUCCGACUUGGGCGAUGCAAGUAUUCUACUUUCUUCUCUUUGCAACGGUCUGUCCUCCGACACGUUCUGCCACCGGUUUUCCUCCCAACUUGUAGUCCUCCGUCCGGGAACAGAGCAGCACCGCUACGAACAGUCCGGACGACGGUGGCCGAUAGUCAUCUCAUCAAUUCUUCUCUUUUAUGCCUCCGGAUGGAUUAAUCGACGCGGAGAGCCAUCUCAUCGAUUCAUCAAGGGGAUCAUCCGAGAGAUAGAUACGAGUUGUAUAGGUUGAGAUUGAAUUAUUAUUUUCCGAGAAAAUAAUAAUAAUUUGAGCGGUAAAAUUGGAAGAGGAAUAUGUGACAUUGGAUGUCAGAUGUAAUUGGAUGUUGCACUGUUUAUCACUGAAUAGCUAGCUAGCUGGCACCGUGCACCGACGAGAGGCUAAGAACCAUUGGAUUAAUUGAGCAAUUGGCAAUCGCUGAUCAGUAUUGCUGUGAGUACUUGUUGUCCGAUGAGCACGAAGGAGUAAGAGGACGAUCGGUGAAGGUGAACGACUCGUCCACCGAUGGUGGUUGGUGGCAAUGACAAAUCUAUCGAUCACCGCCGAUGGUGAUAGCAAGGUGCAAGAGGCAGAUCAAAUAUGCAGAUCGCAGGAGAGGCAGCAAAUCGCUAGCGGUGAUAGUAAGGUGCGAGAGGCCAAGUCAUAGAUCACGAACGUCGAAGAAGGAGAACAAUCGCCGGAGGCGUCAGAUCAAAUCGAGGCUAACACAAUAGUGGUAACAAUAAUUGGAGUGGGCUACAUGAUUUCCUAAGAAUAACAUGAUAAUUAAUAUUCGAGAUGCAUCGAUACUUGGUCAUCUCCACACAGCACCACCUCCUUCACUGCCAAACGUGUGGCAUGUUUGAGGACAUGAUCCGCCAUAUUUGUUCUUGUUCUUCGGUAUUAUCAAGAAGCAUCUCAACAGCCAUAUCUUAUUCA